GAUGAACGCUGGCGGCGUGCCUAAUACAUGCAAGUCGAGCGAACGGACGAUAAGCUUGCUUCUCUGAUGUUAGCGGCGGACGGGUGAGUAACACGUGGAUAACCUACCUAUAAGACUGGGAUAACUUCGGGAAACCGGAGCUAAUACCGGAUAAUAUUUUGAACCGCAUGGUUCAAAAGUGAAAGACGGUCUUGCUGUCACUUAUAGAUGGAUCCGCGCUGCAUUAGCUAGUUGGUAAGGUAACGGCUUACCAAGGCAACGAUGCAUAGCCGACCUGAGAGAGUGAUAGGCCACACUGGAACUGAGACACGGUCCAGACUCCUACGGGAGGCAGCAGUAGGGAAUCUUCCGCAAUGGGCGAAAGCCUGACGGAGCAACGCCGCGUGAGUGAUGAAGGUCUUCGGAUCGUAAAACUCUGUUAUUAGGGGAGAACAUAUGUGUAAGUAACUGUGCACAUCUUGACGGUACCUAAUCAGAAAGCCACGGCUAACUACGUG
rnacentral:rRNA from 1 species